GAUGAACGCUAGCGGCAGGCCUAAUACAUGCAAGUCGAACGAUAUUUUCCAGCUUGCUGGGAGAGAAAGUGGCGCACGGGUGCGUAACGCGUAUGCAACCUACCUUUAUCAGGGGGAUAGCCCGGAGAAAUCCGGAUUAAUACCGCAUAAAAUCACAGAACGGCAUUGUUCAAUGAUCAAACAUUUAUGGGAUAAAGAUGGGCAUGCGUGUCAUUAGCUAGUUGGCGGGGUAACGGCCCACCAAGGCGACGAUGACUAGGGGAGAUGAGAGGAUGGACCCCCACACUGGUACUGAGACACGGACCAGACUCCUACAGGAGGCAGCAGUAAGGAAUAUUGGUCAAUGGAGGCAACUCUGAACCAGCCAUGCCGCGUGCAGGAAGACCGCCCUAUGGGUUGUAAACUGCUUUUAUCCGGGAAUAAACCUCCGAUCGUGAUCGGAGCUGAAUGUACCGGAAGAAUAAGGAUCGGCUAACUCCGUGCCAGCAGCCGCGGUAA
rnacentral:rRNA from 1 species